CCUUCGAACACUCUCUCUCUCUCUCUUCAUACGGACCAUCAUCAAAGUUCAUCAAAACUUCACAGAUCGAAGAAACAAAGAUCACCAUCGUCUUCGUCUCGUCGAUACGAGUUCAUCCAUACCUAUUUCAGGUAAGAACUUCAACGUUUUCACGUCCAACCACUCACCUCCGAGUUUGACACUAUUCAUCAACUUUGUAUUGGUUGAUUUUUAGGAGUUUUCAAGCUUGUAGGAAGCUUCUUGAGGUCCUUAGGAGGCUCGGCGUAGUUCGUUGGAGGUUUUUGGACGUAAGAAUAUCGAGAUCGAAAAGUUCAAGUUUGACCCGUGCCUUUCGAGUCGUUUUCCGGCCAAACCACGGAGAGUUAGACGUCGUGCGAGGUACCAUUCUCUUCGUCUCUUCGAGAAAUACAACUUUCGUUUUUGUUUCACCCAAUUUCGUUGAGUAUUAAAGAAGUUAUACUCAUUUGAAUCUUACCCAGUUUCCGGCGAGUCCGACGGCUUUCGAGGCUUUUUACGGUGAAUUAUCGGCGAUUUAAGGGUCGAGAAGGGUAUAGAUAUGUUUGUCUCGUCAAUAUCUUCAGUUUGAUAUAAAGUACGUUGAAAAUGGUGAAGAAAUGACAAAGUUAUGGCAAUUUGAAAAACUGCCCAGAAACCGGCGAAACCAGUCCGGCGAGCCGAGGAAGAAGACGCGCGUGGGCGCGCGUGGACCGCCACUUUGGGCGGCGCGUGGGGGCGCGUCCGGCAUCCGACCGGCGCGUGGUUUGUACGUACGCGUUAGUGUCGUCGAGUAGAUCGAUUUCAUAUAUUUAUACCCUAGGUUUGAGCAAAUUAUGAGCGUUUUAUUUAGGUUUCCGUUAUGUGCUUUAAUUAAUGUUAUUUAGUUAUUUCAUAUAUAGGGGAAACUUAUUCCGAGGAUUUUCGAGGCCAAGCUAGGCUCGGGGGCUACGAUUUAACGACGUACUU
rnacentral:lncRNA from 1 species